AAUCCAUGCAUUGGAGAUUUACACAACAAGUCCUUAAAACUUUUCCAAGCCUCGUACAAACUUUCAUCAUCUAGUUUCUUGAAAGUUGUCAAAUUAUUUUUUAGUUU